CUCUGAGGUCUCCCCGGCCCUGCCACCUCUCCCAGAUGAGUCAGGCUGGUCCCAGCCAGAGACAGCUCCGUAGGUGAGUCGCCAGCCAGAGGGAGCCGGCAGCGAACCUCUCUGCAGGACGCGGAGCCCCUCCCGGGCCGGGAAAUGGAAAGCAGUGGAUAUAGAAUGACAUUUCCAUCCAAGAAGGUGGAGCUGCCCAAUGUCCAUCAUCCAGGCCAUCAACCAAGACUUAGUCAUCUCUCUGUCCCUGGCACACACUGUGGCACAUCCAGGCUCUCUGUAAGGACUGAUGGGUUGAAUAA